UUUUUUUUUUUUUUUUUUUUUUUUUUUUUUUGCGCAUACUGUUUCAAAGAGAUCAGGCUUGGACACGUAAAAUAAAUAAAGGGACAGAAAAGGCAGGAAAAUACACUCACAAAAAAAGGCAAGCUAUUAAGAUAAUGGGAUUUUUUAAGAGAAUACUUCAGUGAAGUGUUAUGCGAGAAGAAAACUGUUGGUGAACACGUUUAAACAAGUCUAGAAGAGAAGUAGGAGAAGGCCAAGUAGGGUGAAAUAAAAGAGGUAGAAAAGAGGAAAAGGGAGAAAGAACAGAUAAGGGAAGCCAAGAGCUGCCCAACAUCCCUGUGAUGUGACACUGCUGCCAAUGCAGGAGGCCGCAUGGGAAUGCCGAGGGCUCCACCUCAGGCACCGCUGACUUGCAGCCAGCCAGAGGGGUCAUGAGGCUGCUUCUGCCCUGCUGCCCCUACCGGGAAAGGCAAGCAGCUUUCCAGCCUGAUCUCCUGGCAGUACUUGCCAUCCUUCUUGCGUGAGAAGCUCCCACUUUGCUAGUGGUGGGUUUAAAACAAGUUUCCUGAGGACUAUCAGAAUUGAGGAGGAAGAUUAUCUGGUGUCAGUUAAUAGUAGGGCAGAAGAAAACCAGAAAAUCUUGGUGAGGGCAAAGAGAGACAAAGAACUGUUAGGAAUAACACUCCUAAACGGAAAAGAUCAGGGCAGAAAAAUACCUAAAAUGCAGUGGGAAGAAGGAACACUGUAAAGAUGUAAGAAGAUAAGACCUUGGCACAGGGAAACCAAACCCUUGAUUGCUGGGAGAAAAGGAGAUACUCUAAAUCUCUAGAGGCAGAAAAAAAUCUUCACGCCAGGAAUGAGAGGAAAUGAAGACUGAGAAAUGCAAUGUAUGAAUGAAAAUUAUCACAGUUCCUAAGAGAUGAUAAGCAGAGAAAUUAUGCUUAGCCCAAAAAGAACAUUAAUUAGAAAAGGUGAGAAACAGAUCCUUGUACAAAGGAAUAACAAAGUACAGUUUCUUUAUUCACUGGCACUAGUGAUCAAGAUGCUGCUGGAACUUUUUCUGUGACUAGGUCACAGGGACAUGCCACUGCUAAUUGUCUGAUUAAGACAUGUACUCACACAUAAGCUUAAAUCUGUUAAUAUUUAAUACUACCUUCUCUAUCUCGUCAUCAAUUUGAGAAAAAGCCUGGGAAUUUAAUUAUAUGUAAGAGUUUGAUUAAAUUGACAAGCUUAUUAGGACAAUCAAGGGAAGAGCAAGGGCUGGAGCAAAGUCCUAACACAUUGUUUCUUCAGAAAAAAAUAGAACAAACUAAGUGGAAACAGAAAGCAAAUUAAGAAAAUUGCAAAAGUUUUACAAGUACUUACAAGAACUUACCUGUGUUAUCACACAGGUGGACAGUAACAUUUAUGGUUGCUCUACUAAAUACUGAACCUGAAUGCAGGGGUGGAUAGAGACUUGAGACACCCAUAUGGGCAUGAGCAGAGAAGCACGGAUCUGCAGAUACAUUAGAAAAGGCAUAAACUACUGAGAUAUCUUCAAGCAGGCUUUUUAUGAAUUUUGGGGCAUUAGAGGGAAAGAACUUGAGAAUUUGGUACAAUAUGAUGUUUUAGCAAAACAAAUUUAUCACUAGUGAAGCAUUCUCAGUCCAGACAAGACUUCUCAGGCAAUUCUUCAAUCCCUGGAAAAGUUUCAAUCAGACCUCAUGCACCAGAAAAUAAAUUCACAGAUGACUCAAGUUCAUUAAUUUCAUUACUCAAAAACCCCAAAUUAGUAUCAAGAACAGAAUUUCAGCAGAUAAUGCUAGAAUAUUUCAGUGAGCAUUUAGCUUUCUUUUUCCCUUGUAACUGAUCUAGGAAUCACCUAUAAAUAAGAUGCCAAAACAAGGAUGUUGCAAAUGUGUACUAUACAAAUAUGGGUUUUGUGAGAAUCACGUGGAACACAAGUAAAUUACAGAAUGUGUCUGAACUUGGGCCAGUAGAUGGCAAAAACAGUUCAAAAUAAAAAUCAAAAAUCUAACCAGAAAAUGUGUGGAUAUACUCAGUUCAGUUGAAGAAAGAACAGAGAUAAUUUUCUCCCAAGCUGAGCCUGGGAAAUUAAGAGAAAAGAAUUAAAACAAUUAUUAUCUCUCUUUCUGUAA
ensembl:lncRNA